GCGUUCUGUAAGCCUGUGAAGGUGAGUUGAGAAGCUUGCUGGAGGUAUCAGAAGUGCGAAUGCUGACAUGAGUAACGACAAUGGGUGUGAAAAACACCCACGCCGAAAGACCAAGGGUUCCUGCGCAACGUUAAUCGACGCAGGGUUAGUCGGUUCCUAAGGCGAGGCUGAAAAGCGUAGUCGAUGGGAAACAGGUUAAUAUUCCUGUACUUCUGGUUACUGCGAUGGAGGGACGGAGAAGGCUAGGCCAGCUUGGCGUUGGUUGUCCAAGUUUAAGGUGGUAGGCUGAAAUCUUAGGUAAAUCCGGGGUUUCAAGGCCGAGAGCUGAUGACGAGUCGUCUUUUAGAUGACGAAGUGGUUGAUGCCAUGCUUCCAAGAAAAGCUUCUAAGCUUCAGGUAACCAGGAACCGUACCCCAAACCGACACAGGUGGUCGGGUAGAGAAUACCAAGGCGCUUGAGAGAACUCGGGUGAAGGAACUAGGCAAAAUGGCACCGUAACUUCGGGAGAAGGUGCGCCGGCUAGGGUGAAGGAUUUACUCCGUAAGCCCUGGCUGGUCGAAGAUACCAGGCCGCUGCGACUGUUUAUUAAAAACACAGCACUCUGCAAACACGAAAGUGGACGUAUAGGGUGUGACGCCUGCCCGGUGCCGGAAGGUUAAUUGAUGGGGUUAGCGCAAGCGAAGCUCUUGAUCGAAGCCCCGGUAAACGGCGGCCGUAACUAUAACGGUCCUAAGGUAGCGAAAUUCCUUGUCGGGUAAGUUCCGACCUGCACGAAUGGCGUAACGAUGGCGGCGCUGUCUCCACCCGAGACUCAGUGAAAUUGAAAUCGCUGUGAAGAUGCAGUGUAUCCGCGGCUAGACGGAAAGACCCCGUGAACCUUUACUGUAGCUUUGCACUGGACUUUGAGCCUGCUUGUGUAGGAUAGGUGGGAGGCUUUGAAGCGUGGACGCCAGUUCGCGUGGAGCCAUCCUUGAAAUACCACCCUGGCAUGCUUGAGGUUCUAACUCUGGUCCGUGAUCCGGAUCGAGGACAGUGUAUGGUGGGCAGUUUGACUGGGGCGGUCUCCUCCUAAAGAGUAACGGAGGAGUACGAAGGUGCGCUCAGACCGGUCGGAAAUCGGUCGUAGAGUAUAAAGGCAAAAGCGCGCUUGACUGCGAGACAGACACGUCGAGCAGGUACGAAAGUAGGUCUUAGUGAUCCGGUGGUUCUGUAUGGAAGGGCCAUCGCUCAACGGAUAAAAGGUACUCCGGGGAUAACAGGCUGAUACCGCCCAAGAGUUCAUAUCGACGGCGGUGUUUGGCACCUCGAUGUCGGCUCAUCACAUCCUGGGGCUGAAGCCGGUCCCAAGGGUAUGGCUGUUCGCCAUUUAAAGUGGUACGCGAGCUGGGUUUAGAACGUCGUGAGACAGUUCGGUCCCUAUCUGCCGUGGACGUUUGAGAUUUGAGAGGGGCUGCUCCUAGUACGAGAGGACCGGAGUGGACGAACCUCUGGUGUUCCGGUUGUCACGCCAGUGGCAUUGCCGGGUAGCUAUGUUCGGAAAAGAUAACCGCUGAAAGCAUCUAAGCGGGAAACUUGCCUCAAGAUGAGAUCUCACUGGGAACUUGAUUCCCCUGAAGGGCCGUCGAAGACUACGACGUUGAUAGGCUGGGUGUGUAAGCGUUGUGAGGCGUUGAGCUAACCAGUACUAAUUGCCCGUGAGGCUUGACCAU
rnacentral:rRNA from 1 species